GACCCUUUCCCUCUUAUGUGACCCUAUGGCAUUUUCUUUUAUGGGGGGUAAAGGGUCUCAUAAGCAACGAUCCCUAGAUGUGCUGAGAGGAUGACCUCCCACACUGUGACUGAGACACGGUCCCCACUCCUACAGGAGGGGCCAGUGGGGAAUAUUGUGGAUGGGGGGGAAACUGAGAUCCCAUGCCGCGUGUGUGUGAAGGCCUUUUAGUUGUAAAGUAC
rnacentral:rRNA from 1 species